rnacentral:rRNA from 1 species
CCUACGGGUGGCAGCAGUGAGGAAUAUUGGUCAAUGGCCGUAAGGCUGAACCAGCCAAGUAGCGUGAGGGAAGACGGCCCUAUGGGUUGUAAACCUCUUUUAUGCGGGGAUAAAGGUGUCCACGUGUGUCUGUUUGCAGGUACCGCAUGAAUAAGGACCGGCUAAUUCCGUGCCAGCAGCCGCGGUAAUACGGAAGGUCCGGGCGUUAUCCGGGUUUAUUGGGUUUAAAGGGAGCGUAGGCCGGUCUUUAAGCGGGCCGUGAAAUUUUGUGGCUCAACCAUGGGAGUGCGGGGCGAACUGGAGAUCUUGAGUGUGCGUAAGGCAGGAGGAAUUCGUGGUGUAGCGGUGAAAUGCUUAGAUAUCACGAAGAACCCCGAUUGCGAAGGCAGCCUGCCGAAGCGUUACUGACGCUGAAGCGCGAAAGCGUGGGUAUCGAACAGGAUUAGAUACCCUUGUAGUC